UACGUAGGUGGCGAGCGUUGUCCGGAAUUACUGGGUGUAAAGCGCGUGUAGGCGGGAGGCCAAGUCUGUGGUGAAAUCGCUCGGCUUAACUGGGCGGGGUCCAUGGAAACUGGUCACCUGGAGGUCGGUAGAGGCAAGUGGAAUUCCCGGUGUAGUGGUGAAAUGCGUAGAGAUCGGGAGGAACACCAGUGGCGAAGGCGGCUUGCUGGGCCGGACCUGACGCUGAGACGGCGAAAGGCGUGGGGAGCGAACGGG
rnacentral:rRNA from 1 species